rnacentral:rRNA from 1 species
GCUUGACAUAUACUGGACUGCGUCAGAGAUGGCGUUUCCCUUCGGGGCUGGUAUACAGGUGGUGCAUGGUUGUCGUCAGCUCGUGUCGUGAGAUGUUGGGUUAAGUCCCGCAACGAGCGCAACCCUCGUUCUAUGUUGCCAGCACGUGAUGGUGGGGACUCAUAGGAGACUGCCGGGGUCAACUCGGAGGAAGGUGGGGAUGACGUCAAAUCAUCAUGCCCCUUAUGUCUUGGGCUUCACGCAUGCUACAAUGGCCGGUACAGAGGGUUGCGAUACUGUGAGGUGGAGCUAAUCCCUAAAAGCCGGUCUCAGUUCGGAUUGGGGUCUGCAACUCGACCCCAUGAAGUCGGAGUCGCUAGUAAUCGCAGAUCAGCAACGCUGCGGUGAAUACGUUCCCGGGCCUUGUACACACCGCCCGUCAAGUCACGAAAGUUGGUAACACCCGAAGCCGGUGGCCUAACCCUGGUGGGGGGAGCCGUCGAAGGUGGGACUGGCGAUUGGGACUAAGUCGUAACAAGGUAGCCGUACCGGAAGGUGCGGCUGGAUCACCUCCUUUCUAAGGAG